AGGAUCUCUUGGGAUGUUUCCUGUGGCAACAGAGGCUGAGCAUCACACAAAACAACUCGGUGCCCUCGUGGCUCCAUCGCAGCCCCAGAGAUCACAGCAAGCACCUCGUUUCCCAGCAGAGCUGAUUUAUAACUCUCCGACCUCCACCCGAGGAGGGCAAAGGAACAACUGCCAGACCCUCUCUGAACUCGCAACGCCCACCAGGCUCCGAACUGGGAAAAGGAGGCUCAGGAAAAACAAACUGACUCAAAGCACAUGGCAGGGAAAUGCUGCAGAGGAAAUGUCUCCGGCAGAGGAGCACCGGGCGGGCUCAUCCCGCCCGGAGUGCCGCGGAUCCGGGCUGCACCCGCCGAGGAGCUCCGGGAUGGGGCUGGGCUGGCUCAGCCCGGCAGGGCAGCCCCCGUCCCAGGGGCAAAUCCCGGGAAUGCGGUCCUAGGGAGCACGAGGGCCGGCAGAAAACGAGCGACUCCGACAGAAAUUCGAGGCGGAAAGAAUACAGGGAGAAAUAGGAGGGAAAUGAACAUACGCAUGGGAUACCUACAAGGCGCAGAGGGCGCAGAAAUAAAGGGCAGAGCGGGAGAGAGGAAGCAGCUGGUGCUGGUGGUGGUGGUUGGAGAGUGUCCCUAGGGAAUGUCGCCUGGAGCAGAGGACAGCCGGGGGAAGCAGCAGGGAUUCAUGACUGCAGCCUCUGAAAAGUGAACAGAAGGCAGCUGUGUUGGGAUUCCUGCUCAAGUCCCAUCCCAUGGCCCAAAAUCCCACAGGGCAGACCACAGCAGAUCUUGAUAAACCACUCUUUAUGCAAUAAAAGAACAAUAUUGAAUGAAA